rnacentral:miRNA from 1 species
UCUUACUAAAAUGCAGAUUCUGAUGCAGUAGGUCUGGGAUCAGGCAUGAGACUCUGCAUUUUUAACAAGUUC